UACGUAGGGUGCAAGCGUUAAUCGGAAUUACUGGGCGUAAAGCGUGCGCAGGCGGUUCGGAAAGAAAGAUGUGAAAUCCCAGGGCUUAACCUUGGAACUGCAUUUUUAACUGCCGGGCUAGAGUAUGUCAGAGGGGGGUAGAAUUCCACGUGUAGCAGUGAAAUGCGUAGAGAUGUGGAGGAAUACCGAUGGCGAAGGCAGCCCCCUGGGAUAAUACUGACGCUCAUGCACGAAAGCGUGGGGAUCAAACAGG
rnacentral:rRNA from 1 species